AUUCUUAAGUAUCCACAUCUAUUGGGCAGCUUGAGAAUUCAGUUUUUUUCGUAUGACACCAGACUGGGUACAACUAAUAUGGCGCCAUGUUUGCUUCAGUCUAUGUACCUCGCCUUUUGGCCUUUGUAGCAAGUCAAAGUAGUAGAUGUCUAAUGAUCAGGUGAUUAGUAUUUUGCAUAAUGAUCAAAUGAUUCCUCCACUAAACGUAACGAGUGCAUGCUGGUAGUUGUUGCAUAAGGACGAAAAAUAACAUGGCCCGCUGUCAUCCUGCCUGCAAAUCCCCCCCUCAUCGCCAUGUUUUUGUAUACACCAUGCAUGGAGCACAUAGCUGCACAUGGACUGAUUAGCAAACACUUGUUGUUGUGUGAUGAUAAAAUCACCAAUUAGUUAAUUUUGUAUUUGACUUUGCUUGUUCAAUUGUUAUCAGUGUUUUCAAAUUUGGCACCAUAUAUAUCAUAAUUAAUUGGAAUCCCUUCAUGCAGGAACCAGAUGCUCCCAAAGUUCUUCUGGUUGAGUCGUUUACUUACUAGCAAUGACAUUCACAAUGGGAAGCCUUUAUAGCAGGCUACUUUGAUUGAUUCCCAAACUAUGGCUUAGUUACAAAUGUUUUGGCGGUGAUGUUUCAUACACUAGUCCAGUGUUGCUACCCAAUGAUGAGUUGUAUGAAGCACUUUGAAAUGCUUUGAAGAAAGUCUUUUAGGUGGCGGUUCUACUGCUGCUACUCCUGUGACAGCCAAGGUGUAGGUUGCAGCCCGUAGAAUUUUAAGGAGGAAAGGAAGACAUGAUUUCUUCUUGGUGAGGUGAGUUGUUUCCUUCAUAUACACAUUGAAGCGAUGACAGACACUCACCGUGCUUGUUUGUUCAUGUAGAAAGUCAUUUGUUUUCAGUAGUAGAAUUUUUUUGAUUAACCUAGCUGAAUUUUGUGGCUCAGAAGCCGCCUCCUGUAUGUAGGCAUGCUUAGAUCUUUUGUAGAAUCAGAUUGUUAAUAUUUCCUUAGAAGUAAAAAAUGUUACCUUUUCCAUUACUUGUUUACUUGGACCCAAACUGUUCAUUACCUAUUGUAUCUAAAGAGUUUGUCUUAGCGUAGCGUGCAUUGGAACCAUAGUUACAAAGUUCGGCUUAGCAUGCUUUAGAACAGUAGCUGCAGAGUUUGACCUCUCUAUUCUUAUUUCUCUAUAUACUUGACACAUACCUGCCUCCAACGUGUCCAUGUGAUUCCGAUGAAUUUGCUAUAUCUAAUUUUUGAGCUUUUCAUUGUCUUCUAAUUGUUGCAUGCAUUUUUCUAAUAUACCAUUCUCUCUCAUCCAAAUAACUAAGUGUUUAUAAGGUGGGCGGCAAGGCGUGCUAACAGCGCCUUGCAAUUAUGCUCGCUUUAGGAGCUUAGGAGCUUAGACGUCUACCUUAGGCGCUUAGGCGUCAGAGCGGUUGGUGCUCACCUUAGGUCGCCUUACUACCUUAAAAAUCAUGAUAGUCACACACUCAUGACACAUUACCUUUGAAGCUUGUGUAUGUGAAUGUAUAGGUACACUUAGUGAUCUGCAUUGGUAAGUACUAACUGAACUGAAUAUCUUGAUCACAAGAUAUAUCUUUGUUGGCCGGCUUGGUUUAAGAACCCAUUAGCUGGUUUAUACUCCCGUCAUCCCAAAAUAAGUGUCGCUUAUUUAGUAUAACUUUAAUAAAUCAAUGACACUUAUUUUGGGACGGAGGGAGUACAAUAUUUGUCCGCUUAUUUCUUUGUUUUUUUGUUUUGCUUUCAAUCAUAUGUGGCACAGAUGUGCAGUUCAAAGGCAGGGCUGUGUCAAAGACGUGAAUCAAAUAAUUAUGCCAAUUGGUGCAUGUUUUUGUUGCUCUUAGUGUUUUUGUUAUGAUGAUUUUGCUAUCUCAGUGUUUUCGUUAUGAUGAUUUUUCUAUCUCAGUGAUCCGUGUUUGACAAUCUGUUACCUUUUAUGGGCAGUGCAUGUGGAAGUGUACUAUGCAAGC
rnacentral:rRNA from 1 species